GGAGGCAGCAGUGGGGAAUAUUGCACAAUGGGCGCAAGCCUGAUGCAGCCAUGCCGCGUGUAUGAAGAAGGCCUUCGGGUUGUAAAGUACUUUCAGUCGUGAGGAAGGCGGCGUCGUUAAUAGCGGUGUUGUUUGACGUUAGCGACAGAAGAAGCACCGGCUAACUCCGUGCCAGCAGCCGCGGUAAUACGGAGGGUGCGAGCGUUAAUCGGAAUUACUGGGCGUAAAGCGCAUGCGGGUGGUUUGUUAAGUCAGAUGUGAAAGCCCGGCGCUCACCCUCGGAAUAGCAUUUGAAACUGGCAGACUAGAGUACUGUAGAGGGGGKUAGAAUUUCAGGUGUAGCGGUGAAAUGCGUAGAGAUCUAGAAGGAAUACCGGUGGCGAASGCGGCCCCCCUGGACAGAUACUGACACUCAGAUGCGAAAGCGUGGGGAGCAAACAGGAUUAGAUACCCUGGUAGUCCACGCCGUAAACGAUGUCUACUUGGAGGUUGUGGCCUUGAGCCGUGGCUUUCGGAGCUAACGCGUUAAGUAGACCGCCUGGGGAGUACGGUCGCAAGAUUAAAACUCAAAUGAAUUGACGGGGGCCCGCACAAGCGGUGGAGCAUGUGGUUUAAUUCGAUGCAACGCGAAGAACCUUACCUACUCUUGACAUCCAGAGAACUUUCCAGAGAUGGAUUGGUGCCUUCGGGAACUCUGAGACAGGUGCUGCAUGGCUGUCGUCAGCUCGUGUUGUGAAAUGUUGGGUUAAGUCCCGCAACGAGCGCAACCCUUAUCCUUGUUUGCCAGCGAGUAAUGUCGGGAACUCCAGGGAGACUGCCGGUGAUAAACCGGAGGAAGGUGGGGACGACGUCAAGUCAUCAUGGCCCUUACGAGUAGGGCUACACACGUGCUACAAUGGCGCAUACAGAGGGCGGCCAACUUGCGAAAGUGAGCGAAUCCCAAAAAGUGCGUCGUAGUCCGGAUUGGAGUCUGCAACUCGACUCCAUGAAGUCGGAAUCGCUAGUAAUCGUGGAUCAGAAUGCCACGGUGAAUACGUUCCCGGGCCUUGUACACACCGCCCGUCACACCAUGGGAGUGGGCUGCAAAAGAAGUAGGUAGUUUAACUUCGGGGG
rnacentral:rRNA from 1 species